rnacentral:SRP_RNA from 1 species
CACACGGCCCUGAUCUUCUUCCUGACCAUGAUCGUCGGCCUCGGGGGCAACGCCGGCGGCCAGAGCAUGGUGCUUGC